rnacentral:tRNA from 1 species
AAGAGAGUUUGCUGAGUGGUUUAAGGCGGCUAGCUUGAGUCUAGCUAAAGGUAUAAACUUUCAUAUGUUCGAAUCAUAUACUCUCUG